AAAGCGAGAAUAAUGAGCUGUGUAAACAAGCCCCAUUCCCAGUACUGGGGCGUUGCUAGCCCUCCUUAGAGAGGGCGAGGGAGAGGAGGAUGCUGUGCCUGGAAAGCGGCUCUUGAGGAGAGCUGGAAUCUCGGCAAAGCGUCCACUCCCUCCCCUCCCCUUUCCUCUCACCUCUAGUGUUCCCACCAGCCCCGGGGAGGAGACAAAGGACGUGGGAGGGCAGCAGCAUGCAGGGGGCCUGCCUUUGACGCCCAGGAGUUGAACACCAGACAGAAAAUGAAAUCUAAACAUUUACCCAGAGCCCUGGGCUAGAAAUGGGCCAACCUGACCCUGGAAAACAAACAACCCGCGUCACCGCCACACCUGCUGCAGGCCCCAGAUGCCACAGAGCCCUUGGACAGGAGGCGUUGCAGGUGCCGGGCAUUGGAGGGACCUCACGCUCCGCGUUUCCUUCCCUAGCAGAGCUCAAACGACCUGCUGCCGCAUCGGGCAUUGUUCUCUCCCUCCUCACCCAGAGGAAAGUCCCCAUGGCCCAUUUUCUGAGCUGUGCUUUUCCACUCUUUCGUAAUCUAUUAUUGUGACCUUGAGAUGCAGAGAGAGAAGGCUUUGGCAGGACGCACUGCCUUUGGAACCAGAGCUGCUGCUAUCUGUGCCCUGGACCACAUGCUCCAUGGCCAUGGCCGUGCCAGUCCUACUGGUUCCUCUGCAACCGCCACCCAAGUCAGCGCCUGCAGGAGCGUGGACACUGAGAGGACUGGGACAGCGAGGUCUAUGUUCCCUUUAUGAGCUGUAACGCACACCAUGAAGGUCUGCGGCUUGGCUAUUGAGUCAGUGAGAGCGUGAACCUACUAUUAGAAGAAAAACUCUGAAUACGUCUGAACGUCAGAAAGAACGAAGUUUGGACACAUUGUCUUUAAGAACUGUAACACUCACCCCAAGGGUUUAUGGAUUCAUUCUUGAAAUCAGUGAAACCAAAAGCUUUCCAAAGUUUAACACACAGGGAAAUGACUUACUGCAAAGAACCACUCUUCCCCACGAGACUUCGAGAAGACCCGCUGUCACGGACUGAGUUGUGUCCUCUUAAAAUUCAGAUGUUGGAGUCCAAACCCCCAGUAACUCAGAGUGUGAACGUAUUUGAAGAGGUCUUUAAAGAGGUGAUGAAGGUAAAAUGAAGUCACUAGGGUGGGCCCUAAUCCAACCUGACAGGUGUCCUCAUAAGUAGAGGAGAUGAGGACACAGACACAUGGAGGAAAGACCAUGUGGGGACACAGGGAGAAGAUGGCUGAGGGGAGAGGCCAGAGGAGAAACCAGCCCUGUCCAUGUGUUGACCUGGGACUUCCAGCCUCCAGCAUGGUGAGACGAUGCAUCUCUGGUUAAGCCCCAUCUGUGCAGUACUUUGUUAUGGCAGCCCUACUAGCACACCAGUAGGUCCAUUCAUAAAUGCCGUAUACUCGUUCUUGUGAUUUCCGUAACAGUCAUGGGUGACUGCCUUGUUUCCUGUGAUAAGGACACAGAGACCCUCCAAAUUACCAUUCUUUGUUUCUUAAAUGAUUAGCUGAACUAUUUGUCCCUCCAAACAAGCUAGAAACAGCUAGAUACUCCUUGUCCAGCUGAUUGACAGAUGCCUCCUGAUGACAUAAACAUGCCAACUGUAAAAUCACCCCCACCUGGAACUGGUUCACUCCUCCCUAUAAAAGUCUAGACAAAACCAACUGCCAGGACACUCAGGUUUUGGGAUCUGGGUGCUCUCCCGACUAUAAUAUAAUAACCUGAAUAAAGUCAGUUUGCUUACCGGCUU
rnacentral:lncRNA from 10 species